AGACCCGAAACCCGGUGAUCUAGCCAUGGGCAGGUUGAAGGUUGGGUAACACUAACUGGAGGACCGAACCGACUAAUGUUGAAAAAUUAGCGGAUGACCUGUGGCUGGGGGUGAAAGGCCAAUCAAACCGGGAGAUAGCUGGUUCUCCCCGAAAGCUAUUUAGGUAGCGCCUCGUGAAUUCAUCUCCGGGGGUAGAGCACUGUUUCGGCUAGGGGGCCAUCCCGGCUUACCAACCCGAUGCAAACUGCGAAUACCGGAGAAUGUUAUCACGGGAGACACACGGCGGGUGCUAACGUCCGUCGUGAAGAGGGAAACAACCCAGACCGCCAGCUAAGGUCCCAAAGUCAUGGUUAAGUGGGAAACGAUGUGGGAAGGCCCAGACAGCCA
rnacentral:rRNA from 1 species